UAAUAUACGCAUAUAUUAUAUGCCAUAUAAAAUUAAGGGAUAAUUGUCUAUAUACUCCUCAUGCGUCUGAAAAUAUUCGAUCUAUCCUUUUUUUUUUUCUUUCUAAAAUGCCCCUCAUAUGUUCCACCGUUAGUACAAAAUAACCCCGCAGUUAUCUCCUGUUAAGUUAAUCUGAGUUAAACGUGAGUUAAAUAUCUAUCACAGUUAAAAAAAAUUAAAAUCUCAAUUUUGUCCUUAACUUAAGGACAAAUAAGAAAGGUUGGUUACGGUAGAGGGGUAUAUUGGAAAAGAUAAAAAGUUGAAAUACUUUUUGUGCCCCUGACUUUAAGGGCAAAUAAGAAAGACAAUGAUAGUGGAAGGAUAUAUUUGAAAAGGGCAAAAUAGUAAUUUUACAGAGAUGACAGUGUUACUUAACAGAUUUUAACUCUAAGGGUAUAUUAGAAAUAGGUUGGAACGUAGGAGGGGUAUUUUCAAUAUUAGCCUUCUAAGAGAAGUAAAUCGAAAAGUCGGAAACUUUUCAGGGGUAUAUAAGAAAUUGCCCUAAAAUUAACAUCUUAAGAUCAGGUCAAGAUCAGAUCAAAAUUGGAUGAAUAAAUUUGUGGAUUUGAGUUCUAGUUGUGAGAAUUUUAAAAUAAAAUAAAUAUUUUUUUUUA
rnacentral:lncRNA from 1 species